GAUGAACGCUAGCGACAGGCUUAACACAUGCAAGUCGAGGGGCAGCAUAGAAGUAGCAAUACUUUGGUGGCGACCGGCGCACGGGUGAGUAACGCGUAUGCAACCUACCUAUCAGAGGGGAAUAACCCGGCGAAAGUCGGACUAAUACCGCAUAAAACAGGGGCACCGCAUGGUGAUAUUUGUUAAAGAAAUUCGCUGAUAGAUGGGCAUGCGUUCCAUUAGGUAGUUGGUGAGGUAACGGCUCACCAAGCCGACGAUGGAUAGGGGAACUGAGAGGUUGGUCCCCACACUGGUACUGAGACACGGACCAGACUCCUACGGGAGGCAGCAGUGAGGAAUAUUGGUCAAUGGGCGGGAGCCUGAACCAGCCAAGUCGCGUGAAGGAAGAAGGAUCUAUGGUUCGUAAGCUUCUUUUGCAGGGGAAUAAAGUGCGGGACGUGUCCUGUUUUGUAUGUACCCUGAGAAUAAGGAUCGGCUAACUCCGUGCCAGCAGCCGCAGUAAGAC
rnacentral:rRNA from 1 species